rnacentral:rRNA from 1 species
UCCUUGAAAAAGGGUUUCAUCCGCCCUAGUUCAUCUCCGUGGGCUUGCCCCGUCCUAUUCGUUAAGAAGAAGGAUGGUACGGACCGGAUGGUUGUAGAUUACCGACCUGUCAAUUUGGUCACAAUCAAAAACAAAUAUCCACUUCCCAGGAUCAACGAUCUGUAUGAUCAGCUCGCUGGAUCCUCAGUCUUCUCCAAGAUGGAUUUGAGGUUGGGCUACCAUCAAAUCAAAAUCAGAAACGGGGACAUUCCUAAAACGGCCUUUGUUACUCGUUAUGGCCAAUACGAGUACACCGUCAUGUCCUUCGGUUUAACCAACGCUCCAGCCACUUUUUCUCGGAAAUUUAUA